GAUGAACGCUGGCGGCGUGCCUAAUACAUGCAAGUCGAGCGAACAGACGAGGAGCGUGCUCCUCUGACGGUAGCGGCGGACGAGUAAGUACCAAGUGGAUAGCAUACCUUUAGGAAUGUGAUAACUUCGAGAAGCCGGAGGUGAUACAGGGCGAUAUAUUCAACAGCAGGGUUCAAUAGUGAAAGACGGUUUUGCUGUCACUUAUACAUUGGUCGAGGCCGCAUUAGCUAGUUGGUAAGGUAACGACUUAACAGGGCAACGAUGCGACGACGUCCUGACAGGGUGGUCGGCCACCCUGGAUGUGAGAGAGGGUCCAGACACCGACGGGAGGCAGCAGUAGGGAAUCUUCCGCAAGGGGCGAAAGCCUGACGGAGCAACGCCGCGUGAGUGAUGAAGGUCUGCGGAUCGUAAAACGCUGUUAUUAGGGAAGAAGAAAUGCGCAAGUAAAUAUGAACGUCUUGACGGUACCUAAGAAGAAAGCCACGGCUAACUACGUG
rnacentral:rRNA from 1 species